UUUUGACCACAAAAAACCUUUCAGUGCUUUAUUAAGGCACAAUGAAUCAUCAACUUAUUACUUCAAAUCCUUUAGAACCUGGCUCCUCUUCUAACGCCAAACAGGUCAGCUUAUUUUGGCGUUCUUGCUAAUAUUAAAUACACAGGUUUGAAAUAUGAAUUUCUUAUUUUUCAUUAUGAAGAAUAGUAACCGGUUAAAUGUAAUUUGAUUGAAUGAAAUUGGCCUGAUGUGGCUGCGAGUAAAGCAUUUUCUCCUCUAAUCUCAUCUUGCUUUGAUAUGCUAUGCAAGUUUCCAUGCGCCAUUGUCUCUGUCAACUCUAUUUUUCAGAAGCUGUGUCCAAAUUUCAAUGCCAUGUUCUCUCAUUUCAAUUACUAUAUUAUUCUCAUCUUUCUUUACCAGUUUUUACUAAAACCGUUUUUUCCAUUAUUCUUUGCCCCUUUCUCUUUUCAAUUAUAGAGAUUUGGAUGUCAUUGUGGCAACCAGUAAGGUAAAUUGUUUGUUUGGUUCCAUUCUUUUUCAAAUGCAUAUCUAAAGUUAAGGGUAAGAACAUGUGAUCACUCUUUCAUUUCCUUUUGAUUCCUUCUCACUUUUAAAAUGUCAAGUGCUAUUUUGUCUUUAUUAGUCACUCCUCUCCUUGCUACUCUCUCUCAUCAGAUAUUGGAAAAGGAUGCUUAUUGGUGUUCAGCUUGACAAUCUGCUAAAUCCUUUACCAGCUUCAAAGUGUGCGGUGAUGAGGCAAUUUAUUGGACUAGAGUUUCUGAUCUGGGUAUUAUGCUCAGAACUUGAUUAACAAACCCUUGACUGUCUGAGCACACCUUUAAGGAAGUUUUCAAUUCCUUUUCUUGAGUUAGUAUUUUUUCCCUUUUGAGGUGACCGUUUUGAAUGUGUUGUUCAAUUAGUUAAGAAAAUUGGCUCGUGAUGAUAGUUUAAUUAUCUUAGCGGAUUUCAGUGAGAUUUCUAUCAAUGAUCUUAUUGUUACACACACUGAAGCCUAUUUUCUUUAUGGAUAUUCUUUAAUUUAACGUAUUAUAUUAGAUGUUGCUUUGGAUGCCCCUUUUCUGUAGUCGUGUUUGGUUUCUUAAUCUUUGGGGGCACCGAUAAAAUGAAACACUUGAACAUGUUUCAGGGCAGUGGCCGUGACCAUUCAGCUUCGGCCUGAGCCCUUUCCUAACGACUUAUCCUUGCACUGAGCACUGUGUAUUAGUUAAUUUCUUGAUUGCGAUUACUGUUUAAAGAGUUUGCAUCUCUCUGGCUAGUUACUGAAUAAUUUCAGUGGGAAUAAGAUUAGAUAGGAUUUUAUUCUGUUCCCAGUUAGUUUGGAUUAUGUCCUAGCGUGAUCCUCCCUUGUUUUUGUAACAUCUGGCUAUGUGUCGCUGUAUUUGGACGAG